GACGAACGCUGGCGGCGUGCCUAAUACAUGCAAGUCGAGCGAAGUUUUUCUGGUGCUUGCACUAGAACAACUUAGCGGCGAACGGGUGAGUAACACGUAAAGAACCUGCCUUAUAGACUGGGACAACUAUUGGAAACGAUAGCUAAUACCGGAUAACAGUAUUUCUCGCAUGAGAGAUAUUUAAAAGUUGGUUAUGCUAACACUAUGAGAUGGCUUUGCGGUGCAUUAGCUAGUUGGUGGGGUAAAGGCCCACCAAGGCGACGAUGCAUAGCCGACCUGAGAGGGUGAUCGGCCACACUGGGACUGAGACACGGCCCAGACUCCUACGGGAGGCAGCAGUAGGGAAUCUUCCGCAAUGGGCGAAAGCCUGACGGAGCAACGCCGCGUGAGUGAAGAAGGAUUUCGGUUCGUAAAGCUCUGUUGUUAGGGAAGAAUGGAUAUGUAGUAACUAUACAUGUAAGAGACGGUACCUAACCAGAAAGCCACGGCUAACUACGUG
rnacentral:rRNA from 1 species